CCUGCCCCUAGAGGCACUGUGGGUGUUUAUUCUGUGUCACAUGUGUGUCAGUAUAUGGCAGAGAGAUGAGAGGCUAUGUCUACACUCAGCGUUGUGAUCUAUGAACAUCUGAAUGAUUAGGAGCUUAACAUU
ensembl:snoRNA